UUUUGUGCCAGUGAAGUAAUGGUUGAAAAAUCUCUAUACAUAUGUCAUUUUAAAAUAACACUCAACUUCUAUAUAUAGUCAAUACAUAUGUCCAUGUUAUAUUCUAGACUUAAUAUUUUCUCUUGUAAAAAUAUAGAAAACAAUUUUUUUAGUCUACAAGCAAAUGUUGUAGAGCAAGUAUGCAUUAUACAAAAUAAUAUAUAUUUAAAAUCCAUACACAAAAACAUGAAAGUUGUUAUAGGCCUUUUUCUCACACAUGCACACUCCACUAUGAAUAAGAAUUAAAAAAAAAAAACAGUAUUGUCAUCAAACUUUAUCACAAAUCCACAUUUGUACAUCUAUAAUUAUGAGUUGGACAAUUAGUUAAUUUGAUACAAUACCAAAGCAAGAAUAAUCGAAAAACAACUAUACCACCGCAUAUUAAUAAGUAAGACAUAACAGAUAACCAAAUUCUUGAAUUUUAAAACAAAUUUUAACUAGAGCAUUUAGUGAAUAUCAAAUUAACUAAUAUCCCGCCCGUAAGGCGGGCCGACCCUAGUUGUACUUAUUUUUGUAUUACUGAUUAUUGGUGUAUGCAUGCAGCUCUGAAAUUCACUGUAAUCCUGCUUUAGCUGGGUAUCUUCUCUCGGUCUGGGUCUGGAUUGUGGUUUGGGGAAUUUUGAUUUCUGGUUUGGUAAGUAUACCGAGUCCAAUCCUGGGCCUUUGGAUGUCUUUAAGUUUAUGUUUGUAAAAAUAAAAAUUAUUAAUUGAUGAAAAGCCUUUAUCAAAAAAAAUUCCACUGUCAUCAGUUUAGUUUUACAUUGUCUGAGUUUUAUUCAUUUAAAGAGUUACCUCACAUCACAUUUCAUAUGUAUAAAUAAAUACUUUUAUAAAAAGGAAAAACUAAACGAAAGAAAAAUGUAUGAAUAGAUUAAUUCUGAAAUGGACAGAUAUGAUUUGUCAUUGUUAAGAGAAUACGUCCGGACAAAAAUUAGUAGGACCAGACAUAAAGCACCAAAGCAAAAAAAAAUAUAAAAAAGGUUAGUAUACAAAGGACGUGACAACGAAAUAGUAAAGAACAACGAAUAAUGGUCUCAGUACUCUCAACGACGGUAGAAACAGUUUAAGUGGUACAUGCAGAUAACGAGAGCAAAUAUUGAUCAAGUGGAUCAUGCAUGAGAGAUGCAUAUAGAAUGGAUCAUCUAGACAUAUUAAACAUAUCAAUCAAUUAUUAUAGUUUUAAAUGAUAAAAAGAGUAAACAACAAAUGAUAUGUUUAAAUAACAAAAAUUACAAAAAAAAAAUAUUAAAACACAUGAUAUAUAGAUAUAAUACAUAGACAACAAUAAAUCUUGCACUAAACCAUGUAUCUGUAAUUUUGAAACCAAAAUAUGAAGACAUUAAAAUUUAAUGAAAUAUAUAUUCUUCCAAUAGUAUACAUAUUUAAAUUAAUUACUAUAUUUUUCAUAAUACAUGUUAUAAUCAAACAUACAUUAUAUAAAUAUAAUAAUCUAAAUAAAUAUAAAAUUAUAUGAUGAAAGUAGAAAGAGAAAUAUAUAGUCAACGAUAGUUUUUAAAUUGUUAAAGUUGCAAGUAAAAUAGAAUGAAAAUAUUGUAUUAUAAAAAUAGAUAAAUAUUUUAAUAUUAAAGAUUUGUAGAUCUUCCGCAAAGAACACCAAAUGUAUAGCGGGUCAUGCAGACCUGUUUUUCCAGAAAAAAACAAAAAAAUGAAAUGCAUGUAGAUCUCCCGCUUUUUGCAAUGUAAAACUAAAAAUGAUUGAAUGGUGAAUGCAGUACGGGAGAACUGCAUGUGCUGAUGUACGGAUGAUCUUCACUUCUCCUGCUACACCAUUCGAAGUCUAAAUGUCAUAUUGAUACAUAUUUUGUGGGUCCAUUAGGAUUUUCUUUUGUGUAUGUUCUGAAUGGUAAAAAUAGUUCAAGCGAUUCAAAUCAAGCAGAUUAUGCAAAUCAAACAUAACAAGUGUAGAUCAAGUGGAUCAUGCAGUAGAGAUGCAAAUCAAGCGGAUCAUGCAGGCAUAUAAAGCAGAUUAAAUAGUUAUUAUAAUUUUGAAUUAUAAAAAUAGUUCAAAUAAUAACCGGAGUCUCUAGUUCUCGUGGUAAAGGGCUCACAGUUGUGAGUACCGCCACCUGGAUUGAAGUCCGGCCACCCGAAACGCUUUAUGUAGUAAGAAAACUUGGAUUUUAUGGGUCUCGUAGUGAUUAGUCUUUGGACCUAGAAAACCUUUGAGAUCACACCACAGUUGUAAAAAAAAGUUCAAAUAAAACAGAUUAUGUGCUUAAAUAAUAAAAAUUACAAUAAAAUAUAUCAAAACACAUAAUAUAGAAGUAUAAUACAUAACCAAUAAUAAAUCUUGCACUAAAACCAUGUUACUGCAAUUUUGAAAUCAAUAUAUGAAAACAUUAAUGAAUAUAUAUAUAUUUCUUCCACUAGUGUACAUAUUUAAAUUAUAUUACUAUAUUUUGCAUAAAACAUACUAUAAUUAAAAACAAUUUAUAAAAAUAUAAUAAUUUAAAUAAACGCAAAAUUAUAUGACAAAAAUAGAAAGAGAAAUAUAUAGUCAGUGAUAGAUUUUAUAUUGUUAAAGUUGUAAGUAAAAUAGAAUGAAACUAUUAUAUUUAUAAAAACAGAUAAAUGUAUUUAAAAUUAAAUAUUUGUAUAUCUCCUACAAACAAUCCCAAAUGUAUUUAAAAUUAAAUAUUUGUAUAUCUCCUACAAACAAUCCCAAAUGUAUAGCGGGUGAGAUCUGCAUGCAAAUCUCGUGUUUUUCCAAAAAAUACCAAAAAAAAAUUGAAUUACAUGCUCCUGCAGUGUAAAACCAUAAAUGGUUGAAUGGUGAAUGCAGUCAAGACCGGCUUAGUGCAUAGGCAGUUGGUGCGACCGCAUAGGGCCCACAUUUUUUUUAAUUUUUUUGUCAAUAAUGUUUUAUUCAUUUUUAUUAACAUAUAAACCAGGGCCCACAUUAAAUUUAAACUAAAUAAUACUAUAAAAUAUGAUAAUGUAAAAUAUUCAAUUAUAUUAUUAAUUAAAAUAAAGAGAGUAUUAGUUUUCUAACAACAUUUGUUGUUGUUUUUAAAUAAUGGAAAUGCCUAAAGUUUUUUUUUGUCCAUGCGCUCAUGUUUCUAUUGAGCCGGCCACGAAUGAAGUGCGGGAGAACUGCUUGUGCGGAUGAUCUGCACUUCUCCUACUACGCCAAUCGAUAGAUAAAUAAUAUGAUUGAGUAGCAGAAAUGUAAUUAUCGAUAUCAUAAAUAACAAAAAUUUCAAGAACUAGUAUCAGUUGGGAAAACAAAAAAAAAAUUAAAGAUCUUUUGGAAAAAGAAGUAAGAAUUCUAAACAAACAAAAUCAGGUACUGAAAACAAAGUGAAAAAUAUAUAAACAAAUGGUUGGUAACAUUGAUGAUUUGUAGUUUUUGUUUUACAAAAAUUAAGGUAAAUAACUAAAUACCUUUUAGUAUUAAAAUGAGUCAAAUGUAUAGGUAUAGAAUUUGUUGUUUUUAUUUUUUUUUAUCAUUUAUCUUGGUUUUGUAUAUGAAAAUUAUGUUUAACAUUUAUAUUUAUGCCAUUUAAUCAGAUACUUACAUUUAUCAGCUUUAUUUAGUACAUAAUGUUAAAGUUCUUAUUCUUAUUCUUUUUAAAAUUUAUGUAGCAACUGAACGUCUAAUGUGUAGAACUGCUUCCACUAAAUUCUCAACUACUCCGUAUAAUCUAAAAAUUUAAUGGCCGACGAUUGGGGCCAUUUCUUCAAAACUUGGAUUCAAUUUUGUUUUGUUUAUCCGUCACGUCUUUUGUAGUUUACUAUAUUGUUCUUUGCUUUGAAUACAUAUAUACUAAUCAGUCGAUGAACAAAUCCUUCUUUAUGCAAGCUCGCCAUGUUAGACACACGCCAGUGGUCCACGCACAGCUCAACUGUUCGCAGGAGGAAUCGGAUUCGGAGCAGAGGCGGACCCAAUGAAGGAAAAGGUGGGUCAGAUGACACAGGUUAAAUGUCAAAUAUAUUGUGUUUUGACUUAGAACAAUAUAGAAUCAGCAGCGCAAACGGUGUUUGUGAAGGUAAACAUAAAUGCUGGGUCCGCCACUGAUUCGGAGCCUUAACGAGUUUACGCCUUGAACUCAAUAGCUUCAACUCUUGCGCUACACGUAGGUUAAUUGGUAGAUACAUGUUCUUUCCGACAAGAUCCAAAACUGGGCCAAUUGUUCUCCAAGUGGACGGAAUAGUAUGAUUGAAUUUUUAAAUCAGAUCAUCAGUUUAGUUGGUCGUCCAACCACGAAAUCAUCAAUUCUGUCGGUCCAUUCUUCAGCCCUUUCAAGGAAGAUAAUACUUGUUGGCAUUAUUAUACACAAUUUGGACAAAUACAUACUUGAAGAUGGUUAUAUAUAUGGAAUAUCUUGGAAAUAUCCUAAACCAAUGGACCACUUGGACUGUGAAACCAAUCAGUCGAAGCAACCAGGGGCGGACGGAGUGCAUAGGAUACGGGGGCACGUGCCCCCAACUAAUUUUAAAAUUUUCUUUAACAAAUGAUGUAAGUACAUAUAAGUGCCCCCAACUGAAAGAAAAAAUACAAUGAAAACUUUGUUGUGCCCCUUAUUAAAUCUACUUCUGCAUCCGCCCCUGGAAGCAACAAGGGCGGACGCGCGUAGCGUAAUACCAAAGUGGGGCAUGUGCACACACUAACUUUUAUUUUUGAGCUUUUUCAAAUAUACUCAAAACAAAAAGUCAAACCAAAACUACUUCAUGUUUUUCUUAAAAUUUUUAUUUGCUCUAUUCAUUUCAGAAGUUUGAAUUAUUCACGAAAAUGCAAUUACUUUAUUUUAUUUUUUUCAGAAUUGAGUAUUUUAUUCUAUCAUCCUCAUCUUCAUCAAGAAUUUAUAAUAUUGUCAUUGCCAUCAAUACACCAACCCACCAUGAACAACCAAUUUGAAGCCCUUAAUGCACCAAAGUUUCAAUUUUUACUCUUCAUAUCUUAUUACUUAUGCACACAAACUACAUCUCUUUCACUUUCUCUCUAUAUUCAAAAAAAAACCAAGAUUUUGAUUCUAAACUUUGUAAGGUUCAAACUCAUGAUUCUUGGUCAUUAACAAAUGGGUCUGUUUCGUGGUAAAGUUCUGUGUGAUAGGAGAAGCUAAUCAAGUUAUCUCACUGGUUGAAAAUAUGAGAUUGAUUUAUUUUCCAGAUAUGUUCGUCAGAAGACUUCCGUGUAAGUUUUCUGAUCGUAGAAGACUUAUACGGAAGUCUUCUCGUCAAUACAGAGGUUAAUUUUGUAACUGACUUUAUGUUUGUUUUUAGAGACGAUUUCUCUUGAAAUCUUCAAACUUUUCUUUGUUAACAAAAAAUCUCGAAAAUACCCGAAAAGACUUCCUCGUAAGUCAUCUAGGAUACACAAAUUAAUUGACUGGAUUGUGUCAGAAGGUUGGCUUUCUCUAGAUAACUUACACGAAAGUCUUUCGAAUUCUCGGUAGAAUUCUUUUCACUGCCGGUGAAAAUCGUCUCGGGUUACUUUUACAAUUGAAAAAUAAAACUUUAAUAUUUAAUUUUAUAUAGACGACUUCCAUGUAAAUCUUCCGGAAGAUGACUUACACGGAAGUCUUCUGUGAUAACCAAGGUUUGACGACUUCUAUGUAAUUUUCCGCUUAAAUUUUAAUUUCUCGCUUAUAUUUUACUUUUCCGCUUAAAAAUUAAGUCUUCUGAGAAGACUUCCCAAAAUAUUUCUAGUGAAAGUGUCAUAUGUUUGAACUUAUAUAAUGUUUGAUAUUUUGUGAUUUUGACUAAGUUUUCUUAGAAGUCUUCUAUCUUAGUUUUAGUAAAUUUGAUUAAAUUUUUGUGUUAUUUUGUUUUGCUAUUGAAGUUGUAUCAAUAACUUCAAUAAAUUUAAGUAUUUUUGGCAAGAUAAUAUUGUAAACAUGAACAUAUUUACUAAUUUUUUAUUAUUAUCUUUUCAAAUUUACAAAAGAAUUCACGACUAAAAGAAUA